UACAGAGGGGGCAAGCGUUAUUCGGAAUUAUUGGGCGUAAAGGGCGCGUAGGCGGCGAUUCAAGUGACGGGUGAAAUCCCUCGGCUUAACCGAGGAACUGCCGUCCAAACUGCUUCGCUUGAGACCGGGAGAGGUGAGUGGAAUUCCCAGUGUAGCGGUGAAAUGCGUAGAUAUUGGGAGGAACACCAGUGGCGAAGGCGGCUCACUGGACCGGUACUGACGCUGAUGCGCGAAAGCGUGGGGAGCAAACGGG
rnacentral:rRNA from 1 species